UGCAUGUCUAGUUCAUGCCGUAUUAAGGCGAAACCGCGAAUGGCUCAUUAAAUCAGUUAUGGUUCCUUGGAUCGUACUUUACUACUUGGAUAACUGUGGCAAUUCUAGAGCUAAUACAUGCAGCAGAGCUCCGACGCCCCUCGGGGCGGACGAGCGCUUUUAUUAGACCAAAACCGAUCGGGGGCAACUCCGUUUCGCGUGGUGACUCUGAAUAACUUUGGGCCGAUCGCACGGGCUUCGUCCCGGCGACGUAUCCUUCAAGUGUCUGCCUUAUCAACUGUCGACGGUAGUUUAAUCGCCUACCGUGGUUUUUACGGGUAACGGGGGAUCAGGGUUCGAUUCCGGAGAGGGAGCCUGAGAAACGGCUACCACAUCCAAGGAAGGCAGCAGGCGCGCAAAUUACCCACUCCCGGCACGGGGAGGUAGUGACGAAAAAUAACGAUACGGGACUCUUUCGAGACCCCGUAAUCGGAAUGAGUACGCUCUAAAUCCGCUAACGACGAACCAUUGGAGGUAAAGUCUGGUGCCAGCAUCCGCGGUAACUCCAGCUCCAAUAGCGUAUAUUAAAGUUGUUGCGGUUAAAAAGCUCGUAGUUGGAUCUGAGUCUCUGCCCGGCGGUCUGCCCCUUCCCGGGGCAGCCUACUGCCGCGACUGCGGGACGUCUGCCGGCUUCCGCCGAUGAUCUUCACCGGUUGUCGGUGGCAGGCCGGCGAGUUUACUUUGAAAAAAUUAGAGUGCUCAAAGCAGGCGCGACGCCUGAAUAAUGGUGCAUGGAAUAAUGGAAUAGGACCUCGGUUCUAUUUUGUUGGUUUUUAGGAACACGAGG
rnacentral:rRNA from 1 species